rnacentral:rRNA from 1 species
AGAGUAUGAUCCUGGCUCAGAUUGAACGCUGGCGGCAGGCCUAACACAUGCAAGUCGAGCGGAAACGACCCUAGCUUGCUAGGAGGCGUCGAGCGGCGGACGGGUGAGUAACGCGUGAGAAUCUACCCAUGAGUGGGGGACAACCCGGGGAAACUCGGGCUAAUACCGCAUACGCCCUACGGGGUAAAGCAGGGGACCUUCGGGCCUUGCGCUGAUGGAUGAGCUCGCGUCGGAUUAGCUUGUUGGUGAGGUAAAGGCUCACCAAGGCGACGAUCCGUAGCUGGUCUGAGAGGAUGAUCAGCCACACCGGGACUGAGACACGGCCCGGACUCCUACGGGAGGCAGCAGUGGGGAAUCUUGGACAAUGGGGGCAAUCCUGAUCCAGCCAUGCCGCGUGUGUGAAGAAGGCCUUCGGGUUGUAAAGCACUUUCAGCAGGGAGGAAGGCUUACCCCUAAUACGGGUGAGUACUUGACGUUACCUGCAGAAUAAGCACCGGCUAACUCCGUGCCAGCAGCCGCGGUAAUACGGAGGGUGCAAGCGUUAAUCGGAUUUACUGGGCGUAAAGCGUGCGUAGGCGGCUACGUAAGUCAGUUGUGAAA